GCGGCCGUCGCCUAGCCUGGACUAGGGCGCCGGCCCUCCGCGCCGGAGGACCCGGGUUCGAAUCCCGGCGGCCGCACCA
rnacentral:tRNA from 1 species